UACGUAGGGGGCAAGCGUUGUCCGGAAUCAUUGGGCGUAAAGCGCGUGUAGGCGGCCCGGUAAGUCCGCUGUGAAAGUCGGGGGCUCAACCCUCGAAUGCCGGUGGAUACUGUCGGGCUAGAGUGCGGGAGAGGCGAGUGGAAUUCCUGGUGUAGCGGUUAAAUGCGCAGAUAUCAGGAGGAACACCAAUUGCGAAGGCAGCUCGCUGGAACGUAACUGACGCUGAGACGCGAAAGCGUGGGGAGCAAACAGG
rnacentral:rRNA from 1 species